UACGGAGGGAGCUAGCGUUGUUCGGAAUUACUGGGCGUAAAGCGCACGUAGGCGGCUUUGUAAGUUAGAGGUGAAAGCCUGGGGCUCAACUCCAGAACUGCCUUUAAAACUGCAUCGCUUGAAUCCAGGAGAGGUGAGUGGAAUUCCGAGUGUAGAGGUGAAAUUCGUAGAUAUUCGGAAGAACACCAGUGGCGAAGGCGGCUCACUGGACUGGUAUUGACGCUGAGGUGCGAAAGCGUGGGGAGCGAACAGG
rnacentral:rRNA from 1 species